UAUGCUGGAUCAGCUUUUAAUUCAGUGCAGGACCUGCUUAAAUACUCCAUGACCAAGGCAAAUAGGAAUGGGGACAUGGGGUCCCCUUGACUCAGUCCUCUGGCUGCAGCAAAUGGAAUUGCAGGCUCUCCAUUAACUAAAACUAAGUAGCUCACUGUUGAUAUACACUCCAUAAUCCAUUUGGUGAAAGUGCUAGGGAAUCCUAUCUGUUCCAUGACUUGCUUUAAAACACCCAUUCCACUGAAUCAUAUGCUUUCUGGAGGUCUAUCUUGAUCAUGCAUCUGGGGGAGACAUGCUUCCUAGUAUAGCUUUUAACAAGCUCAUGAGCUAGAAUGAUGUUAUCCUGAAUUUUCCUACCUGGAAUGAAACCUGUCUGAGCUUCAUUGAUGAGGCUUGCCAUCACCUUCUGCAGCCUAUUAGCCAGUACUUUGGAGAUGAGUUUGUAUAGGACAGUACAACAAGCUAUAGGUCUAUAUUCUUUGACUGAAGCUAGUUUGGACAUUUUAGGGAUGAGGGUAAUAGUUGCACAAUUGAUUGGUCUGCACAUCUUUACUGAGUUGAAGAACUGCUUAAUGGCAGUAGUGACCUGGUGACCAAUGAUGCUCCAGCUCUUUUUGAAGAAGACAACAUUGUAUCCAUCUAUUCCCGGUGCUUUGUCAUCUCCAAUAGCUUUGAGACUCUCUGUUAUUUCUAUUUCAGUAACUGGAGCACACAGUUCCUGUCUUUGCUGUUGGUUCAGUUUUGGCCCAUUGGACAUAUACAAUUGAUUGAUAGCAGGUAGUUUUGGUUCAGCAGUGCCCAUCAGUUCUUUGUAGAAGCCCAGGAUUUCCUCUUUAAUUUCUGUUGGUGUAGUCAGCUUGGUUCCCUGUGCAUUGGUAAUCUCAUUAAUCUGUUUCUGCUGACUUCUGUCCUUCAUUACUGCAGUAAAGUAUUUGGUGUUGGAGUCCCCAAGUUGUAUUCACUUUUCUCUUGCCUUCUGUUGCAGUACACUCUCCUCAAUCAAUGACCAUUUUUGCAGUUGCAAUAUCAGUUCCUUCUCCUUCUAUUAUAGUGCAUCAUUGUAGGCUUGACUCAAUUGAGUUUGUAUGAUUCCCAGUUCCCCACUUUGCCCUUGCCUUCUGUUGCAAGACACUCUCCUCAAUCAGUGACCAUUUUUCCAGUUGCAAUAUCAGUUCCUCCUCCUGCUGUUGUAGUGCAUCAUUGUAUGCUUGACUCAAUUGGGUUUGUAUGAUUCCCAGUUCCUGUCGACUCUGCUCAAUUCUAAGUGUAAUUGUUUUGAACUCCUUGUUGUUCAGUGCCUUCAAAGGAGUCUUCAGGGCUU
rnacentral:lncRNA from 1 species